rnacentral:rRNA from 1 species
ACGCUGGCGGUAUGCUUUACACAUGCAAGUCGUACGAGAGUUUUUAACUCAAGUGGCGGACGGGUGAGUAACACGUAAGAAUUUGCCUUUAGGAGGGGGACAACAACUGGAAACGGUUGCUAAUACCCCAUGUGCUUUCGAGUGAAAUGGAUUUAUCCGCCUAGAGAGAAGCUUGCGGCUGAUUAGCUUGUUGGUGAGGUAAUGGCUUACCAAGGCGACGAUCAGUAUCUGGUUUGAGAGGACGAUCAGACACACUGGAACUGAGACACGGUCCAGACUCCUACGAGAGGCAGCAGUGGGGAAUUUUCCGCAAUGGGCGAAAGCCUGACGGAGCAAUACCGCGUGAGGGAUGACGGCCUAUGGGUUGUAAACCUCUUUUUUCAGGGAGGAAUCAAUGACGUGUACCUGAAGAAUAAGCAUCGGCUAACUCCGUGCCAGCAGCCGCGGUAAGACGGAGGAUGCAAGUGUUAUCCGGAAUCACUGGGCGUAAAGCGUCUGUAGCUGGUCAAAUAAGUCAACUGUUAAAUCUUGAGGCUCAACCUCAAAAUCGCAGUCGAAACUAUUAGACUAGAGUAUAGUAGGGGUAAAGGGAAUUUCCAGUGGAGCGGUGAAAUGCGUAGAGAUUGGAAAGAACACCGAUGGCGAAGGCACUUUACUGGGCUAUUACUAACACUGAGAGACGAUAGCUAGGGUAGCAAAUGGGAUUAGAUACCCCAGUAGUCCUAGCCGUAAACAAUGGAUACUAGAUGUUGAACAGAUCGACCUGUGCAGUAUCAAAGCUAACGCGUUAAGUAUCCCGCCUGGAAGUA